rnacentral:rRNA from 1 species
AUUGAACGCUGGCGGCAUGCCUUACACAUGCAAGUCGAACGGUAACAGGUCUUCGGAUGCUGACGAGUGGCGAACGGGUGAGUAAUACAUCGGAACGUGCCCGAUCGUGGGGGAUAACGGAGCGAAAGCUUUGCUAAUACCGCAUACGAUCUACGGAUGAAAGCAGGGGACCGCAAGGCCUUGCGCGGACGGAGCGGCCGAUGGCAGAGUAGAUAGGUGGUGGGAUAAAAGCUUACCAAGCCGACGAUCUGUAGCUGGUCUGAGAGGACGACCAGCCACACUGGGACUGAGACACGGCCCAGACUCCUACGGGAGGCAGCAGUGGGGAAUUUUGGACAAUGGGCGAAAGCCUGAUCCAGCCAUGCCGCGUGCAGGAUGAAGGCCUUCGGGUUGUAAACUGCUUUUGUACGGAACGAAAAGACUCUUUCUAAUAAAGAGGGUCCAUGACGGUACCGUAAGAAUAAGCACCGGCUAACUACGUGCCAGCAGCCGCCGUAAGAC